ACGAGGGGUCCAAGCGUUGUCCGGAAUUAUUGGGCGUAAAGCGGAUGUAGGUGGUUUUGUAAGUCAGAAGUGAAAGCCUCAGGCUCAACCUGAGAAGUGCUUUUGAUACUGUGAAACUUGAGUAUGGAAGAGGGCAAUGGAAUUCUUGGUGUAGUGGUGAAAUAUGUAGAUAUCAAGAGGAACACCGGAGGCGAAGGCGGUUGCCUGGUCCUAUACUGACACUCAGAUCCGAAAGCGUGGGGAGCAAACAGG
rnacentral:rRNA from 1 species